rnacentral:rRNA from 1 species
UACGAAGGGGGCUAGCGUUGUUCGGAAUCACUGGGCGUAAAGCGUGCGUAGGUGGCUGCGCAAGUCGAGUGUGAAAUCCCCGGGCUUAACUUGGGAAUUGCGCUCGAAACUACGUGGCUCGAGUAUGGCAGAGGAAAGUGGAAUUCCACGUGUAGCGGUGAAAUGCGUAGAGAUGUGGAGGAACACCGAUGGCGAAGGCAGCCUUCUGGGCCAAUACUGACGCUCAUGCACGAAAGCGUGGGGAGCAAACAGG